rnacentral:lncRNA from 1 species
UCAGGUCGCUUUUUAUGUUGAGAACCUUCGAGCUGGGCUCUGAUUCUUGAUUCCAGAGUUUAUUCGAAAUAUUCUUGAUUAUUACCGACUUUGCCCAGUCUAACUUGCGCCGAAUUUCAUUCGGCUUCUUAUUACUUUUGCUUUAUUAUGUCGUAUGAUCCCGAUCGAACCUAAACUUUCUCUCUUUCGUACUUUCUUAUUUCUUCAUCCUCAUCCGAAGGC